AUCACUUCUUGGCCUUUUGGCUAAGAUCAAGUGUAGUACCUGUUAUAGUUUAAACUCUGGGCGGACAAGAACCUUGUCUAUAUUGUGGUGGCCCCAAUCCCUAACACAGUACCUGGUUUAUUGAAGGUACU
rnacentral:snRNA from 1 species